CCCGCGCCCCGGCCCCCGCCCGGCGGGGGCGACGCUCCCCUGCCCGCGGGGUCGCCCUCACCUGCUGCCCCCUCCGCCGGUGCUCCCCCCUUUUUCCCUCCUAUCCCCGGAGGAGAAGAGCCCCCGCCGCCCCGCGGAGCGGCCCCCGCGUCCCGCUCCCUCCCCGCGGAGCCGCCCCGGGGGGAGCAGGGCGGGCUGGGCGCUGCCCGCCGGCCGCCCCGCUCAGUGCUCCCGACCUGCCGUGUGCGGGGGUGGGGGGGCCGGUCCCGGGCGGCGGCCCCGUUACCUGUGCGCGGCGGGCGGGCGGGCAGGCGCGGGUGCGUCGGUGCGGGCGGGCGGCCGGCGCGGACUGUGCGGUUCUGGCGCUCGCGGCGCUGCAGCCUCGCUCCCUCCCUCCCUCUCCCGGCGCCGCGCACGGGGCGUCUCCGCCAAUCACCGCGCCGCUCCGCGCGGGCCGCGCGCCGCCCGUGACGUCAAGCGGCGCCAUGGCAACGGCGCGCGAGGGCGCGCGCGAACCUCCCCCCUCCUCGCUCCCCCACCCCGCGGACACGCCCAGAGCCGGCGGCGGCCCCGCCCGCGGGCGCGCGCCUGCACCCCCCCGCCCCCACCCACCGAGCCGAGCGGGGCGGCCCGGGGCGCCGCGGGUUCGGGGCCGCGUCCCGCUUCUCCCGCAGCACCGGCCCCGGCCCGGCGGGGAGACCCCCGCACCCGCCCGUGCGCGGCGGAGCUGUGCCCGCGCCUGCGGCACAGAGCGGGGGCGGCAGCACCGCCUCCUCGUGUGGCCGCCGGGUGUGCGCGGAUGUCACCGCCGCCCCCCGCGCACCCCGGGCGGGCUCUCCAGGCUUUGUGCUGCCCAGAGCGCCCAGUGUCCCCAGUAACCCCCGCCGAGCUCCGCGCGUGGCUAGGUGGCUGAGCCCCCAGGGUGCGGGGGGGACCGGGACUGUCCCGGCACACGCGCGGUUGCGGGACGGCUCCGCAUCGAACCGCGCCCCGGGAGCCUCAUC
rnacentral:lncRNA from 1 species